GAUGAACGCUAGCUACAGGCUUAACACAUGCAAGUCGAGGGGUAACAAUAGAAAAGCUUGCUUUUCUUGUUGACGACCGGCGCACGGGUGAGUAACGCGUAUCCAACCUGCCCAUAACUAGCGAAUAACCUUGCGAAAGUAAGACUAAUACCCUAUAAUUUCCUUUUACGGCAUCCGAUUAGGACUAAAGUUUUAUCGGUUAUGGAUGGGGAUGCGUCUGAUUAGCUUGUUGGCGGGGUAACGGCCCACCAAGGCAACGAUCAGUAGGGGUUCUGAGAGGAAGGUCCCCCACAUUGGAACUGAGACACGGUCCAAAAUCCUACGGGAGGCAGCAGUGAGGAAUAUUGGUCAAUGGGCGGAAGCCUGAACCAGACAAGUAGCGUGCAGGAUGACGGCCAUAUGGGUUGUAAACUGCUUGUAUACAGGAAUAAAGUUAGCCACGUGUGGUUAUUUGUAGGUACUGUAUGAAUAAGGACCGGCUAAUUCCGUGCCAGCCGCCGCCGUAAAAC
rnacentral:rRNA from 1 species